GAUGAACGCUGGCGGCGUGCCUAAUACAUGCAAGUCGAGCGAACGGACGAGAAGCUUGCUUCUCUGAUGUUAGCGGCGGACGGGUGAGUAACACGUGGAUAACCUACCUAUAAGACUGGGAUAACUUCGGGAAACCGGGGCUAAUACCGGAUAAUAUUUUGAACCGCAUGGUUCAAAAGUGAAAGACGGUCUUGCUGUCACUUAUAGAUGGAUCCGCGCUGCAUUAGCUAGUUGGUAAGGUAACGGCUUACCAAGGCAACGAUGCAUAGCCGACCUGAGAGGGUGAUCGGCCACACUGGAACUGAGACACGGUCCAGACUCCUACGGGAGGCAGCAGUAGGGAAUCUUCCGCAAUGGGCGAAAGCCUGACGGAGCAACGCCGCGUGAGUGAUGAAGGUCUUCGGAUCGUAAAACUCUGUUAUUAGGGAAGAACAUAUGUGCAAGUAACUGUGCACAUCUUGACGGUACCUAAUCAGAAAGCCACGGCUAACUACGUG
rnacentral:rRNA from 1 species